rnacentral:rRNA from 1 species
AUUGAACGCUGGCGGCAUGCUUUACACAUGCAAGUCGAACGGCAGCGCGGGCUUCGGCCUGGCGGCGAGUGGCGAACGGGUGAGUAAUACAUCGGAACGUGCCCAGUAGUGGGGGAUAGCUCGGCGAAAGCCGGAUUAAUACCGCAUACGACCUGAGGGUGAAAGCGGGGGAUCUUCGGACCUCUCGCUAUUGGAGCGGCCGAUGGAAGAUUAGCUAGUUGGUGGGGUAAAGGCCUACCAAGGCGACGAUCUGUAGCUGGUCUGAGAGGACGACCAGCCACACUGGGACUGAGACACGGCCCAGACUCCUACGGGAGGCAGCAGUGGGGAAUUGUGGACAAUGGGCGAAAGCCUGAUCCAGCAAUGCCGAGUGUGUGAUGAAGGCCUUCGGGUUGUAAAGCACUUUUGGCGGGAACGAAAAGGACUGUGCCAAUACCACGGUUCGAUGACGGUACCCGCAGAAUAAGCACCGGCUAACUACGUG